AUGGCACCAGAGCAUGGUGGUGGGAAGCUGUGAAAUGUGUUUCGCAUCAAGCAUCAUCUCAGCAGGGUAUACGAGUAGUAUGCUGACAGCACUUCGACGCCUGAGUGUUAACCAUCUGUGGUCGCCAUUGAGUGCUGGAUUCUGCUCCAGCUCACCAUCUGGUUCCAAUCCACCUACAAAGAUUCAAGACGCCCUCUUUGGACAAGAUUACAGCUGGCAGCAUUCUGGCUCCUCUCUCUCAGAAAACCUGUAAGCGAACCCUGCUCACCCUCUACCGUGCCCGCCAUCAACCCACACCCGGUGUCAUACUUACCACCUUCCUGAAAACAACUUAACUCCUGCAAGGAGCUUGUCGUCCCAGAUUAAGAUCACCACCUCCUGACAAACUCUCCACUCCUAGGCCCCACUCACUUCCCCCCUGGUGGUUCAUCUACUCAUCACCUUUGAGGUGUUCCCGGUUCCGGAUUCCACACAGUACAAUCUUACCUGUUUCAAUAAACCUUUUUCAGUCUCC